rnacentral:rRNA from 1 species
UACGGAGGGUGCAAGCGUUAUCCGGAUUCACUGGGUUUAAAGGGUGUGUAGGCGGGCAGUUAAGUCAGUGGUGAAAUCUCCGGGCUCAACCCGGAAACUGCCAUUGAUACUAUCUGUCUUGAAUUUUGUUGAGGUAGGCGGAAUAUGUCAUGUAGCGGUGAAAUGCAUAGAUAUGACAUAGAACACCAAUUGCGAAGGCAGCUUACUAAGCAAAUAUUGACGCUGAGGCACGAAAGCGUGGGGAUCAAACAGG